rnacentral:rRNA from 1 species
UACGUAGGGGGCUAGCGUUGUCCGGAAUCAUUGGGCGUAAAGAGCGUGUAGGCGGCCCGGUAAGUCCGCUGUGAAAGUCGGGGGCUCAACCCUCGAAUGCCGGUGGAUACUGUCGGGCUAGAGUGCGGAAGAGGCGAGUGGAAUUCCUGGUGUAGCGGUGAAAUGCGCAGAUAUCGGGAGGAACACCAAUUGCGAAGGCAGCUCGCUGGGACGUUACUGACGCUGAGACGCGAAAGCGUGGGGAGCAAACAGG